rnacentral:rRNA from 1 species
AGUCGUACGAGGCAGAUUUUCAUCACUGAACUUUAGAGAGCGGACUGAUGAGAGGCGUCGUGAAUGCGAAGCAUUCACCACACUUUUAUAAAGUGCUUAACUUUAAGGCUGAGUGAUGAAAAGAUGCCGAGUGGCAAACGGGUGAGUAACGCGUAGACAACCUGCCGUAAAGAUGGGGACAACAGUUCGAAAGGACUGCUAAUACCGAAUGUUGUAGAGUUUCCGCAUGGGGAUCCUACUAAAGGUGGCCUCUACUUGUAAGCUAUCGCUUUACGAUGGGUCUGCGUCUGAUUAGCUAGUUGGUGGGGUAACGGCCUACCAAGGCGACGAUCAGUAGCCGGUCUGAGAGGAUGAACGGCCACAUUGGAACUGAGACACGGUCCAGACUCCUACGGGAGGCAGCAGUGGGGAAUCUUCCGCAAUGGGCGCAAGCCUGACGGAGCAACGCCGCGUGAGUGAAGAAGGGUUUCGACUCGUAAAGCUCUGUUGUCGGGGACGAAUGUGGAGAUGGUGAAUAACCAUUUUCAAUGACGGUACCUGACGAGGAAGCCACGGCUAACUACGUGCCAGCAGCCGCGGUAAUACGUAGGUGGCGAGCGUUGUCCGGAAUUAUUGGGCGUAAAGGGAGCGCAGGCGGGAAGGUAAGUCUAUCUUAAAAGUGCGGGGCUCAACCCCGUGAGGGGAUGGAAACUAUCUUUCUUGAGUGCAGGAGAGGAAAGCGGAAUUCCUAGUGUAGCGGUGAAAUGCGUAGAUAUUAGGAGGAACACCAGUGGCGAAGGCGGCUUUCUGGACUGUAACUGACGCUGAG